AUGCCGACUUAGCAGACCUGAGUCAAAGUAUAGUAUGUGUUCUUAUCAGCGUAGUAUCUUAUGUGAGUUACAUUUUUACCGAAGGUAUUAGACUUAUCUUUGUAAGCUGGCGGAGUACUUAAAACCUCCUUUCCCUCCGGCGCGGAUUGGCCCGGUAUUUCGCUAUCUCCGGGAUUGGCCCAAGGUUC